rnacentral:rRNA from 1 species
CUACGUAGGGAGCAAACGUUGUCCGGAUUUAUUGGGCGUAAAGGGCUCGUAGGCGGUUCAACAAGUCGGUCGUGAAAGCCCGGGGCUUAACCCCGGGACGCCGGUCGAAACUGUUGUGACUAGAGUUCGGUAGAGGUGAGUGGAAUUCUCGGUGUAGCGGUGGAAUGCGCAGAUAUCGAGAGGAACACCAUUAGCGAAGGCGGCUCACUGGGCCGAUACUGACGCUGAGGAGCGAAAGCGUGGGGAGCAAACAGGAUUAGAAACCCCAGUAGUCC